rnacentral:tRNA from 1 species
UAACAAGAAAGAGUAAAUUCUGAUUUUAAUUUCGACUUAAAGUAAGGUGUAGACCCUUGUUAA